UGCAACAGUUACUGCUUUAACUUGAAAAAAUUUUAUUGACUGUUCAAUAUUCCGGUUGCUCACUGAAGCUGAGUUGAGCCUGGUCAGUACCUGGAUGGGCGACCACAUGGGAAAGCUAGGUUGCUGUUGGAA
rnacentral:rRNA from 1 species